UUACAAUGAAGAGUUUGAUCCUGGCUCAGGAUGAACGCUGGCAGCGUGCUUAACACAUGCAAGUCGAACGAAGCAAUUAUGAACGACUGGAGAGCUUGCUCGAAGGAAGGGAUUGGUUGACUGAGUGGCGGACGGG
rnacentral:rRNA from 1 species